CGUCGCCCCGCCUCGCGGUUCCUCCUCCGUGGCUGUCUUUGCCAAAGAGAGCUCCUCGACAGUCACCUCAGGGACCACUGGUCUCUCGGAGUAGCUAGGGUAUCUUGGUUAAAUCAGAACAUUAGUGCUGGAAAUGGCCUUAAAGAUAUCUGGACUUCCUUCCUUGUUCCAGAAGCAAAGAGAUAUUAAGGGCCCAGCCAUCUUCUUGGAACUUGUGAGGUAAAAGAGCAUUAAGUUUCCUGAGAAGUUGGUUUCUUCUGUUCUUCAAUUUGCACAACAAACCUGGGG